UACGUAGGGUGCAAGCGUUUGUCCGGAAUUAUUGGGGCGUAAAGAGCUCGUAGGCGGCUUGUCACGUCGGAUGUGAAAACCCAGGGCUCAACCCUGGGCCUGCAUUCGAUACGGGCAGACUAGAGUUCGGUAGGGGGAGACUGGAAUUCCUGGUGUAGCGGUGAAAUGCGCAGAUAUCAGGAGGAACACCGGUGGCGAAGGCGGGGUCUCUGGGCCGAAACUGACGCUGAGGAGCGAAAGCGUGGGGAGCAAACAGG
rnacentral:rRNA from 1 species